rnacentral:rRNA from 1 species
AGAGUUUGAUCCUGGCUCAGGAUGAACGCUAGCUACAGGCUUAACACAUGCAAGUCGAGGGGAAACGACAUCGAAAGCUUGCUUUUGAUGGGCGUCGACCGGCGCACGGGUGAGUAACGCGUAUCCAACCUGCCCAUCACUUGGGGAUAACCUUGCGAAAGUAAGACUAAUACCCAAUGAUAUCUCUAGAAGACAUCUGAAAGAGAUUAAAGAUUUAUCGGUGAUGGAUGGGGAUGCGUCUGAUUAGCUUGUUGGGCGGGUAACGGCCCACAAGGCUACGAUCAGGUAGGGGUUCUGAGAGGAACGUCCCCANAUUGGAACUGAGACACGGUCCAAACUCCGUACGGGAGGCA